rnacentral:rRNA from 1 species
CCUACGGGAGGCAGCAGUGAGGAAUAUUGGUCAAUGGGCGGGAGCCUGAACCAGCCAAGUCGCGUGAGGGAAGACGGUCCUAUGGAUUGUAAACCUCUUUAGGCGGGGAGCAAUGCCGGGCACGCGUGCCCGGAGGGAGAGUACCCGCAGAAUCAGCAUCGGCUAACUCCGUGCCAGCAGCCGCGGUCAUACGGAGGAUGCGAGCGUUAUCCGGAUUGAUUGGGUUUACAGGUUCGUAGGCGGAUUUUUUAAUCAGCGGUAAAAUGUCCGGGCUCAACCCGGGACGGCCGUUGAAACUGGGGAUCUUGAGUGGGCGAGAAGUAUGCGGAAUGCGUGGUGUAGCGGUGAAAUGCAUAGAUAUCACGCAGAACACCGAUUGCGAAGGCAGCAUACCGGCGCCCGACUGACGCUGAGGCACGAAAGCGUGGGGAUCGAACAGGAUUAGAUACCCUUGUAGUC